UACGUAGGGGGCAAGCGUUGUCCGGAAUCAUUGGGCGUAAAGCGCGCGUAGGCGGCCCGGUAAGUCCGCUCUGAAAGUCCAGGGCUCAACCCUGGAAAGCGGGUGGAUACUGCCGGGCUAGAAUCCGGAAGAGGCGAGUGGAAUUCCUGGUGUAGCGGUGGAAUGCGCAGAUAUCAGGAGGAACACCAAUAGCGAGGGCAGCUCGCUGGGACGGUAUUGACGCUAAGGCGCGAAAGCGUGGGGAGCGAACAGG
rnacentral:rRNA from 1 species